AUAGAGACUUUCACACCUUUGCACUCUGAUAAGAAGAAUAUUAUUACCCUCCCAGUGGCCUGGACAGAUAAGAGGUUUAGGGCGGGCAGUCUGCAUUUUUUUCAAGCUCUCUUUAUGCUGCACCAGUAUCUCCAGAUGCCUUCUCCAGGGAACUAAGCUGCUUACUGUUUAAAACUGCAAAGAGCAAUGGAGAGUUUAAGCAAAGACCAUCCUUCUCCGGAUUCUUCCCUGCCACGCUCUGCAGCCCGUGAGGAGUAUGCUGUGCCAGAUGUCAUCAUAACGCACCGCUUGAGGGACCGGGAGCUGCUCAGAAAAAGAAAAGCAGAAGCCCUGGAGAAAGAUUCGACUCAGUGGGUUCUGAGGGUGCAUAAGAACCAACAGCAAAAGAGAGGCAGAGGAGCCAAAAGAGGACGGGGCCGUCAGCCAGAGGUGAAGGCCACCCUAGACCCGGAACCAACCACAGACCCCCAGCCUGAGCUGCAGGAGGAGGCUGAACCAGUGCACUCUGAGCCAGCACUGCCUGAACCAGUGCACUCUGAGCCAGCACUGCCUGAACCAGUGUACCAAGAACAGCUGCCCAUGCUGACCAUCCACAACCCAGUCAGUGGGAUGCAACCAGUAGCAGUGGAAGAGGAGCCAGCAGCCAGGAGCUUGGAUCCUGCAGGUGAAGAGGAGGUGGUGAAACCAACAGAAGCAGAAAUACUGGAAGAUUUCAAUACUCCUCUGGAAAACGACCACCAGGAUAACGAAUUCAACACACAUGUUCUGUAUUAAUCACAAAUCUUCAUUCACGAAGCCUAGGCACAAUGAUCUGUAUUGAUUUUCUGAUUGUUUGGGGAUUUUACUUAUUUUGACUCCUGCCUCACAAACUCUGAUGAAUACUGCAGCAGCUUCUUUCUCAUUAGUCAUAAAGCCCACAUUCUCCUUGUCACUCUGCUUUCUGUGACUCUUUCAGGUUACAGUGUGGUCGACUGUACAGAGGCAGUCCUUUGGGAGUUGCCUGCUGCCUGUGGCUUAUGAGCCCCCUGCUCUCUCUGCAGACAGGUUGUCUCAUUCAGGCCCACAGAAAGCUUCAUGGUGUCCUGCCACAGCACAGGUUAAGCAUACAGUCCAGCAUCCAUCCUUCUGAAAGCCAUUUCUGAUUUGCAUAAAUGUGAGUGGCACUGCAAACCUGAAACCCAGUAUAAUUUUUAGUCAGCUGGAGCUGCACACCUUGGGCUUUUUCCUGUAUCCCUGAAGCCAUACAUCCCUUUCUGCUUCUAUUUUCACUCUGAAGGUCUUUCUCAAGGUCAGUUUUCCUCUGCAAAAAACAAUAAAAUUGUUUUACUAAAGCCUGGAAUGCUUUUU
rnacentral:lncRNA from 1 species